UGUGUCUGUCUCUCACACACGUCUGUCUACGUGGCUGCUCCGCGCUGGUUGUGACUGUCAGGCGUUCCUGUUUGCCACGAGAAAGCCCGCUGUUUAUCAAACAGGAAUUGCGUCUAAAUCCAUAUUGUCGCAACAGUACAAUAUAGAAAUGGUGUCUUUAUCGCGCAACAGCACAAAGGUAUCCAAACAAUGAUGUUCCAGCUGUAUGGCGGAUACCAUCUCCCAUAGCCAGUGAUAAAAACUUGGGGCAAUGGUGGACUCUCGUGACAGUAAUAUACAUUUUUUCAAACCACCACCCCAAACUGUAAGGCUGUCCGUAAGUCAGAGAGAUGGAGGCUGAACUGGAUGGCGGCUAAGAAGGGGACAUUUGGGGAACAGUGGCGUGGAUGCAGGUGCACAGUGGUGAUGUGAGGCAGCAGAUAUGUGCCAUUGAGCCGUGGCAGCCAGGGCAUGGCAGAGGGUCCUGGAAGUGGCAGAGUUUCCAUUUUCCGGGCAGAGUUGGCCAGUCCAGAGGGCAUAAGCUGCUCACAAGAUAGUGUCCCAUCACUGCUUUUAUUCAUACUACCUUGCUACAACCCAUGUCUCCCACUUCAAUUGAACUUUGUUAGUACAUUGGACACUUUCAUUGAUCCAACAAGACGCACACAACUGUGCAGAGAUACAAUUGUCAUAAUGAUGUGAUGUCUGUUUAAAGUUUUUUUUUUGUUUCUUCAAGCAAUUUCCCUCUUGUAUGACAUCACCUUCCCAUGAGGUCUUCAAUAUCUAGGCUUAAUUUAUUUAAAUGUUUACGUGUGUAACUGGCUUAACUCACUGAAUCCAAUCUCAGAUAAACAUUAGAUUGUCAAAAUAAUCAAUAAACAGAGAAGCCCACCCCAGGCCCAGUGUUUCAGUAAAAGUAAAAAGACAAAAAUAAAAGCUUUUUCAUUUGAAUUGCAUAUAACUAAAAUUUGGUAUGUCCCCCCUUUUUGUCAGCAGCAGAUAAAGACAGGGAUUGAGGGGUUUGUGGAGGCCACGAUUUGUCAUUCUGUCUCUUCAUAGCCAUGGGGAAGAAGCUUCUCUUCAGCCCGCUGGUGUAGGCGGAGUAAAGGGUGAACAUGGAUUGUUCUGGAUUGGUGGGGUCAACAUGAAACUUACCAGUCGGUCAUAUGUUUGAGUUAGGAUUUCAGGAGAACAUGACUACAAAAACAAUUUAAAUUUUCCAAUGAUUUAAUAUAUCCUAUGUUACCAGAAAAGUAAUAGUCAAAAUGAAGAAAUUCAAUAUGAAUAAUAAUUUAAUUUUUUGUCAUUUUAGCACAUUCAUAUAAUCAUGUGGGGUGAAUCCUGUUCACCACAAAGGGUGGCUCUGAAACCACUAAACGUUUGAUUCUUCUUUAACACAUCUUUGUUGUCACAAUACAAUGUUUUAGCAUUAAUGAACAAUUUCCAUAAGCCCUAGAUGAUGGUGUGAUGUCUGCAGUGGACCUAGCUAACAGAAGACAACCAAAAACAAAGAGUCAUACUCAAUUCUGUUAUACCAGACUUUGGCAUAAAAGAACACUUCUACAGAAAAAUGUUAGAGCCAUUUAUUGACAAUAUCUGCAUACAGUACAGAGCUGUAUGUAUUUUUGAGGAAAAUGUAUGUUUUGCUGUAUUUGUAAAACCGUUGACACAGGUGGAAAGAGGACGCCUGCAUUUGACGCUAUGGGGUUUAAGUAAAUAAAGAGGACAAUGCCCAUGUUGAGGUUGUGAAAAUAAACAUGGUACUUACAUUU